AUCUCUAGCCGUUCGCGGGGCGCACCCCCCGUCACCGCUCUCCGCCAAUCAGAAGGAAGCACACGUACCCUUCUAGAAGUCGCCGCGGUGCUCCGUCCUCUGUUCACUCUCGCGUUCUUGACACUCGGCAUCGCUCGAGAGCCAGAGAGAUUCUUUCAUUGAAGGGCGCCCCCCCCCAAAAAAACAGCUUCGCGGAAUUAGGGUUUCCGUUCCAAUUUGGGGGAAAUCGAAAGGUGUAGUUAGAGAGAGAGAGAGAGAGAGAUGGCAUCAGUGGCGUCGUCCGGUGGAUCUGGUCUGUUCAAAUUCCUCAAGCCCAGGCUGCGACCCCAGUCGGACGACAUCCAGGCCGCCGCCAUGUGGGGCGUCGCCGCCGGCGCCACCGCUCUUUACCUCAUCCAGCCCUUUAAUUGGUUGAAGAAAACUUUCUUCGAGAAACCAGAGCCUGAAGGCAAUUGAUUUGGGGAGUAAAAGUUGGGCAAGUCUGAUUUCGUCAUUGCUUUUUAUCCUUUCUGCUGGGAGAGCUUAUGAACAAAAGUGAACUUGAAUAAUGUAUUUUCAGUUGCCAGUACCAUUCUGGGUCCUUUUUCGGCAUUAACAUCCGGAUCAUACAAUGAAUACUUUGUUUUUGAGAGCA